rnacentral:rRNA from 2 species
GUCGAGCGGAUGAGUGGAGCUUGCUCCAUGAUUCAGCGGCGGACGGGUGAGUAAUGCCUAGGAAUCUGCCUGGUAGUGGGGGACAACGUUUCGAAAGGAACGCUAAUACCGCAUACGUCCUACGGGAGAAAGUGGGGGAUCUUCGGACCUCACGCUAUCAGAUGAGCCUAGGUCGGAUUAGCUAGUUGGUGAGGUAAAGGCUCACCAAGGCGACGAUCCGUAACUGGUCUGAGAGGAUGAUCAGUCACACUGGAACUGAGACACGGUCCAGACUCCUACGGGAGGCAGCAGUGGGGAAUAUUGGACAAUGGGCGAAAGCCUGAUCCAGCCAUGCCGCGUGUGUGAAGAAGGUCUUCGGAUUGUAAAGCACUUUAAGUUGGGAGGAAGGGCAGUA